AACGUAGGUGGCAAGCGUUAUCCGGAAUUAUUGGGCGUAAAGAGCUCGUAGGCGGUUUGUCGCGUCUGCCGUGAAAGUCCGGGGCUCAACUCCGGAUCUGCGGUGGGUACGGGCAGACUAGAGUGCAGUAGGGGAGACUGGAAUUCCUGGUGUAGCGGUGAAAUGCGCAGAUAUCAGGAGGAACACCGAUGGCGAAGGCAGGUCUCUGGGCUGUAACUGACGCUGAGGAGCGAAAGCAUGGGGAGCGAACAGG
rnacentral:rRNA from 1 species